GUGCACAUUUCAUUGGCCUGCUUCCUUUUGUAUAUGUGAGCAGUGUUAUUUCAUAUGUGCUAUACAAGUAGUUGAAGGUUAAUUAGCAGCAUAAAAAACAAAAAAUCCAAACCCACUGCCGUCGAAUUGAU